UGGAACUGCCCUGCACAGAGCCAUCUUCCCACACCUCCUGCCUGGGUAGAGCAGCUCUGGAGCCCGGAGCCACUUCCGAGUCUGGGAGAGGCCAGUCUAGGCCAAGAUCCUACAGAACCUGGCUCCCAGGCUGUGUCUGACUCUGUGGGAGGUGCAUGUCCAGGUCAUGGGUCUCAGGGCUCCUGGCCUGGUCUGUUGUGCUCCUGCCAGGCCCCUCUGCCUUUAUACCAACUGCCACCCAGCAUCUGCACAUCGCCUUCCCGACCUUCUUUGCACUGCUGGGGUCAUCGGCAGCUGGGCUGAAGUGCUGUCUGGACAGGAGCCUCUCCGGCUUCCCAAGGAAGCCUUCGGUGCUGUCUGGCUGCCACUGGUCCUCCACAGUUCUAUCAUAUGGUUCCCUGACUGGGAAUGGCACACGAGAGAUUCCUUGGGCUUUCCCAGUUUGAGUCCCCUGCCAUUCAGGACCAGGAACGGACUAUAUUCUUCAUUAAUUCCUCACUUCUACACUCGGGAGCUGUAAACUUGUCACUGCCAGUUCGCAAACAACACCGACCCAAUUUACCACAGCCACCGCCGGUCCCCCACAGUUCUAUCAUGAGGUAAGACUGCCUCACCUCUGGGAGCCCCAGGACCCCUCCUCCUCAAGAUUGCAGCAAAUGAACAAGGAGCCCCGAAGUUCUCCAGCCCCCAGCACAGCCCCGCACAGUGAGCACCCCAACCCUUGGUCUGCUGGCUGAGCUUCUCCACUCUGCCCCCAUGGGCAGCCAUGGGCAGCCACAGGCCCUGGGCUUCCAUUCUCCCAUAGCUGGUUGUGGAUUUGCCUUUUUCUGCCUUUUGUCUUUCUGUCAGGAUGGAAGUAAUGACUUCCAAGCUCCAUCUGUGCUGGACUAGACACAGAAAAUCCUCCUAAAACUUCAGUUUUUACUAUGAAGUUAAUUUCUUUCCAUCUAUUAAAAAUCUCAUUUUCAAAACAUUUUUAAAAUAUCUGCAUGUUCAUACCCAUUUUAGGGGUCCUGUGUUUUGCACUCACAGAUAAGCCCCAUGAGGGUGAUGCUUUGACAGUAAGAGACUGUAAUAAAGGAAUCGAUGUUUUGGCCAGAGGUCCUUUCUAGGCUGUGGAAUAACACUUUCCAGUUUGAACAACUCUAAACAUUGUCUACACAUAUACACACACACCAUUGCAUGAAAAUAGAUCUAGGAUUAUGCACGAUAAACUUUAUACAGCAGGGCCCUCGGAGGAAGUAGUGGCAAUGGUGGUGGAUUGUGAAAAUGGAAUUAUAAUUUUCCACCCUGUGUACAUCUGUGGAAAAAGUAAUGCUUUUCUAAUAUAAAAAAUUAAAAAU